GACGAACGCUGGCGGCGUGCUUAACACAUGCAAGUCGAACGGGUCUGCCCUGUUUUUUGCGGGGUGGGUCAGUGGCGAACGGGUGAGUAACACGUGAGUAACCUGCCCCUCACUUCUGGAUAACCGCUUGAAAGGGUGGCUAAUACGGGGUGUUCUGGCUGUGCCGCAUGGUGUGGCUGGGAAAGAUUCACUUUUGUGGUGUUUUGGUGGGGGAUGGGCUCGCGGCCUAUCAGCUUGUUGGUGGGGUGAUGGCCUGCCAAGGCUUUGACGGGUAGCCGGCCUGAGAGGGUGGGCGGUCACACUGGGACUGAGAUACGGCCCAGACUCCUGCGGGAGGCGGCAGUGGGGGGUAUUGCACAAUGGGCGGAAGCCUGAUGCAGCGACGUCGCGUGAGGGAUGGAGGCCUUCGGGUUGUGAACCUCUUUCGCCGGUGAAGAAGGUCCUGCUCUUUGUGGUGGGGUUGACGGUAGCCGGGUUAUGAAGCGCCGGCUAACUACGUG
rnacentral:rRNA from 1 species